GGGACCUGUGGUGUUGGGGGAAGACCCCUUCGCUUCUCUUCUCCGAGCCCGCGGGGAAGCCACCCGGCCUGGGCCCCGGGGCCCGGCGGUCCCGGUUCCCCACGUCGCUUAUACCAGAGCAGGUGCCGCCAGAAAGGGCGCCGGCCCCGCAGCCCUUUGAUGGGCUCCCCCCGCGGCACCGCCGGGCCGCAGAGCCCCAUUCGCAUGCAAAUGGCCCGCCGUGCCCCUCCGGCUUUCAAGGGGAACAGAGGGUACGAGUAGUUGUCACAGGGACGGACCCCGGAGGAACAAAUCCUCCGAAACAGGCUGGGCCCUGAUAAACAAGCUGGUAGGACAAACAGGGUGGUGUCGCCUCCUUCUCCUCCUCCCAGCUACAAAGUGUGGAUUCAUUAACCCGUCUCCUUUUCUCAUCAUAUCCCCGUAGGGCUGAGAGACGAAUUACUGGAGCUGAAUUGGGAGGGGAUUGCUCUAUGAGGGGGCUAAUGUUUCAAUCAGUUCCUCCAGAAGGACCACACAAAAAGAAACUUUUUAGUUUAUGGUGCUAUUAUGCAGAGUUUUAAUCUAGGGAUAGAUUUAGCCAAAUGUUAUCUAUUGGGAAUUUAAUGAAGCCCUUAUGUAUUCAAUCGCUUUUUAUGCCACACACAGUGUCUCUAUCCAGAAACGUUUCCUUCCACAUAUUUCUUUGUUUCUGUUGGGUGAUUUAUAUAUUUUUUAAUUAGGUUUUUAAAUAAUUGCUUCUUUUCAAGCAUCUUGUAUAACGUUUCUCUCAAGUAGGACCGCGUUAGGUCCCUUCCCACAUCCCCUAUAAAUGAAGACUCCCCUUCCCUCCCCCGUUUCGAAGCUGAUUAUUUUGCACGUCCACACACGGCGCCCGUCCCGCCGGAGCGCUCCCCCAGCCUUGCGCGGAGGGGCCCGGAGCAAGCCGGCCCCGCCACCACCGGCAUGGGCUGCAGCGGGCAGCGCGGCCCGGGGGUUCGGCCGACCCCUACGCCGGUCUCCUUCCGAACCUUCCCCAUCCGCAGCCCUCCUCCUGCCAUACAUUCGCUCCUGGUCAUUUUUCUGGUGCACCCCUGGGGGCAGCGAGGUGUUGGCUGGUGCAGCCCCCGCCCUUGCAGGCUGGUUUCAGGUACCCAGGGCCAACCCCAUCCCCGAGUCGGGAGGGUAAAAGGCGGGGGGGUGGAGGCCUCACCUGCUUUCAGCCGCUCCCUCCCUUGCAGCGCUAGUGGCGAGGGCAGAGCGCACGGUCGCCCCCGCCGACACUGAGGCCUGUGCGGGGGAUCUCUUGGAAAGUGGAUCUUGUUUAAUUGUCCCUUGGCACGGCCGCGGGCUCCGCGCCGUAUGUAAUACUUUCCCUCAUUACUUACAGUAAGUACUUCAGUAGUCUCAGAUAAUACUGUAUUCGACAGAAAUCAUGGAAGUUACGGUCGUGGCCAAACGCUUCUUGCGCGGGGACUUGCUAACCAGAGCAGAUCCCUUUUCCAGCUUGCUACCGGCGCCUCCCCCGUCAGCAGCGAAGUUUCUCCCGCUCCCCUUUCGGCGCGGCGCCGGGCCGCACACACCGACGGGACCCGGGGACCGGCGGGGACCGGCCGCCGAGGGCCCGGCGCCUCCCGAGCAAGAACAGCGCCGUUCCCCCGCCCGGAGGGGUGCUGCGGGCUGUCGACCCCGCAGCCCCCCCGGCCCCUUCCCUGCCGCCCGGCCCGGCUAGCCGCGCAGCUCCCGGCUCGACCCGCAAAAGCAGAGGCAAAGCCUGCCGGGCUGGCGAAGGGGUGUGGGGGGGCUUCCGCAGGGAGCCCCGCAGCAAAACUCGCGGCCCGCCCGGCUGCAGCAGCGCGGGUGGUACCGCGGGCUGUGCGCGGCCGCGCAGCGGGGCAGAGCCUCCGCGGCUACAUCUGUUCUUUGCUCGGAGCGCGCCCGUGGGAGCGGGGAGGCACCCAGCGGCGGCUCAGCGGGAAUCACCGCGGGAAACCAGUGGAAGAUGCGUGUCAUAAGAAUGUGUGCCUUUAGUGCAGGUGGCCGGCUUCACAGGCUCCCGCGGCGAGGGGCAGCGGGGCUCCCGCUGCGGUCUGCGCCCAGCAGGAGAGGAGAGACCCACCGGCUAGGCCCCGGAGUGCCCAGAAAGUAGGAAAAAAUACGAACUGGACUGUACGAAAGAGGUUUUUUGUUUUUUUUUUUUUUUUUAAUGCCGUGUCUAGCCAAUUUCGGAAAUUAUAUCGUCGAGUUGAAUUCAGAGGGAAAGUUGUGUGGUUUUUUUAAAUCAAAAUAAUUAAACUUGCCCUUUCUCCAAACCA